rnacentral:pre_miRNA from 1 species
UUCGGAAUUGCCUGGGGAUCUUGUCAAAGUGCAGAUUCUCACUGAGUAGAUCUGGGCAGAGCCUGAGUUUCUGCAUUUUUCCCCAGUUCCCCUGGGAUGGUGCU